rnacentral:rRNA from 1 species
CUACGGGAGGCAGCAGUAGGGAAUCUUCCGCAAUGGACGAAAGUCUGACGGAGCAACGCCGCGUGAGUGAUGAAGGCUUUCGGGUCGUAAAACUCUGUUGUUAGGGAAGAACAAGUGCUAGUUGAAUAAGCUGGCACCUUGACGGUACCUAACCAGAAAGCCACGGCUAACUACGUGCCAGCAGCCGCGGUAAUACGUGGGUGGCAAGCGUUAUCCGGAAUUAUUGGGCGUAAAGCGCGCGCAGGUGGCUUCUUAAGUCUGAUGUGAAAGCCCACGGCUCAACCGUGGAGGGUCAUUGGAAACUGGGAGACUUGAGUGCAGAAGAGGAAAGUGGAAUUCCAUGUGUAGCGGUGAAAUGCGUAGAGAUAUGGAGGAACACCAGUGGCGAAGGCGACUUUCUGGUCUGUAACUGACACUGAGGCGCGAAAGCGUGGGGAGCAAACAGGAUUAGAUACCCUGGUAGUCCACGCCGUAAACGAUGAGUGCUAAGUGUUAGAGGGUUUCCGCCCUUUAGUGCUGAAGUUAACGCAUUAAGCACUCCGCCUGGGGAGUACGGCCGCAAGGCUGAAACUCAAAGGAAUUGACG